rnacentral:rRNA from 1 species
UCAAGGGGGCCCAGCAAUGGGCAACCGGCGAACGGGUGCGUAACACGUGAGCAACCUACCGAAUUGUGGGGGAUAGCCGGCCCAACGGCCGGGUAAUACCGCAUACGCUCGAGACGAGGCAUUUCGACUCGAGGAAAUCUACGGAGCAAUUCGAGGGGCUCGCGGCCUAUCAGCUAGUUGGUGAGGUAACGGCUCACCAAGGCGACGACGGGUAGCUGGUCUGAGAGGAUGGCCAGCCACAUUGGGACUGAGAUACGGCCCAGACUCCUACGGGAGGCAGCAGUGGGGGAUCUUGCGCAAUGGCCUAACGGCUGACGCAGCGACGCCGCGUGAGGGAUGACGCUCUUCGGAGUGUAAACCUCUUUUGCCCGGGACGAAUUGCCAGUUUUCGCUGGCUUGACGGUACCGGGUGAAUAAGCACCGGCUAACUCCGUGCCAGCAGCCGCGGUAAUACGGGGGGUGCGAGCGUUG